AUGAUAAAAAGAUAUUUCUCCACAGCGCUACGGAUGCAGACGCAUUCAAAGGCUUCUUCUCUCGCCAGCUCCUCUACAGAAUCACUCUUAAUGAAAGCUUCAGCUCCAGCUCUCCAAGCCCAGAUUCAGUCGCAGCCGUCUAACCCUCGGCCUGCAAACCAAGCGGUGGCCAUCGCUUUCGAAAAAUCAGAAGAAAUUAAUUUCCUCUCUGGAGGAGACGACAUUCCAGUCGUAAGGCCUUCCUGUCAUCUGCGGGCCAUGAGCGUCUCACAGCAACUAAAUGCCAGAAGAAACAAAGAAGAGAAAGAAGAGAAUGAGAGUUUACACACACAGGGAACGUCAGGUUUCUCUCACCUGCAGCAGGACCAGAUGCUUUCAGGAUAAACCCCUUUAAACCCGCUUUCAUCAUCCCUUCAGUCACAGAUGGCUGUUUACACCUGUAUUACCUGCUUUGUGCAUGACUGGGUGGAUGUAAAGGAGAAUAUCUGUGGCUGCAAACAUCAGUGUGUCAAUGCAAUGUGUGUAAAAUAAAAGUUGCUUAAAUAUCAUAUAAAUCUCAACAUGCAUGUAUUUUUAAACGUUCAUCAGACAGUUGUUAGUUUAAGCUGAAUGAUUCUCACCAGUAGAUGAUUUGUUCAGGAUAGACCUUCUGUCUGCAUCAUCAUCAGGAUCAAUGAAAUACAGACACAAUACACAACAAUAGACAGAGAGAGAGACAGAGAGAGAGAGAGAGAGAGAGAGAGAGAGAACGAGUGAAACGCAGCGGGAGGAAUCACUUAACAUUCCCACAUCAACUAUUUCCUGUUCACAACAUUUCUACUUCCCCCUCCUUUAUUUACAGUACAGCUUCAAUUCCCAAGCUCCACUGUUUACCUCCAAUAAUGACAUGGAACUAUUAAUCACAAUCCCUCGCUUUUUACGGCAUUUUCCUGUAAACUUGAGCUCUGCGAGAACAAACAAAACACGUUGGGUUACCAUAGAGUCAGAGCGGUUUGAAGUCUCUCAGCAUUUGUUGAAACUGUAAAAAAAUAAAUAACCGGGUUCCACUGCAGCACCUUUAACCUGGAGCCGCUGGGGUCAAAGGUCAGCGCUCACCAUAAUGUCAUCAUCUCCUUCACAUACUUUUUUCCACACACGUGUGAAUGUUUAUGUGGGUCAUGUUCAUUAAAUGCAUGCAAACACAUCAUGUUUAUUAGUUUAUGCAGACUGUGUGACUUCGCCGGAGAUCAGAUCGCAUUUUAUGACCAAUUUAUGCAGAAAUCAAGAGGGUGCACAUACUUUUUCCCCGCGACUGUAUCCGAACAUAAAAGGCGAGGAUGAUCGUUCAGAUGAUCACUAACAGUACGAUGUGAUAUAUUCAUGUUUACUUCAUAACAUCAGUGUGGAACACAAGCAGUUCAGUUCAUCAAAACACAUGAGAGGAGCGCUUGAUCACGCCACCGAAGCGCUCGGGGCCGCGCAGACCGUGUGUUUGAUCGCGUCCACCUGCGCUUCUCACCGGCGGGCCGCUUUCCUCUCUGAGCUCCUGCUUUACUGCCGUUUGUAUAACAGAUGACAGCAGUGAUGAACACAGUCGUAUUAUUAAUGUAAGACUGACAGAUAGCGACGUGAGUUAUGGCCGCCUUUAGUUCAGAGUCACCGUUUCAUGAGGCCUUUCACUAAAAGCCAUACAUAAAUGUCAUUCGCCAGUGACCAUAAACUAUUACACAGGCAAUUGGUUAGAAGAUUUCCUCUGUUAUCUAUCACGGUUAUUUACUCGUGUUUCUUUGUGGGAGCAGACGGACCGCGCGCGUCUGAACCGAACGGCGAUCUGCUUCAUUAUGAGGCGUGUUGUAUUUUGCAGGUGUUUUGAGGCGUUGUGAAUGAGGGGUAUUUGAGGAGACGCACCUAAAAGGUCUAUUACUAUGAUAAUGGAGCGGAGGGAGGGAGGGAGGAGGCCCCGGGCUAAAUGUAGAGCCGCGGCUUUGCUCAGAAAUGGCUUAUUUAAAUAUCAAACCUGUGCACGGAAUUGAGUGCUGAACCGUGACACAGGUACUGAUGCGCAGAGGAGACGGGAAUCAGACUCUUGCAGCACGCACUUAUUUCUCUUGUAAAAAUAAAACCAUAAAAACCUCAAUGAGUCACUAGCUCUCAUGCGCUAUCACUGAGGAAAAAAAAAAAAUAAGGUAUGUGGUUGCAAUCAACUUAUUUCAUCUACAUUUAAAUAGAUUUAGUUUACUAACAUUUUUUUUUUUUUUUUUUUUUAUGUAGCUAAAAUAAAUUGUUUGCACCUUACCUUAAAAUAAAUAAAUAAAUAAAUAAAAAUAGUAUAAUCUUUUUCAGUGUAAAGGCAGCAAAUUUAGGACAUGAAAUUGUUGUGAAAUGGUUCCAAAACUUUGAAAUGUCCAGUUUUCUUGUUGUGAUUAUAAUGUUAUUUAAAGGUUACAAAAACAUUUCUUACAACAUUCUGCUAAAUACAUUUUUUUUUUACCCAAAAUAUAACAUUUAAUAAUGUUUAUUUUUAAUAUUCUAAGAACAUUAAAAUGUCUAGUUUUCUUGUUGUGAUUAUAAUGUUAUUUAAAGGCCACAAAAACAUUUCUUAAAACAUUCAUCAAGUACAAAUAACACAAUAAGGACAUUCAGAGAAUGCUGUUCUAAAAAUAUUAAUAAAGUACAAAUAACAUCACAAAGACAUUUCAAGAAUGUUGAUCCCAGAACAUUUUUUCUAAACAUUAUGAGUGUAUAUCACAUAUUAAGGAAGUUGUAAGAACAUUCCAUAAACCAUUACUUUAAGAACAUUUUGUCCUAACAUUUAUAUAACUUUUGAUAAAUGUUAGUGAACGUUGUGAGAACGGGUCCAGAUUUUAAAAACACUUUUUUUUUUCUUGGUUAUACAAACGUCAAGGGAACAUUCCAUUUUAUCAAACAUUAUAGGAAUGUUACUUUCAAAUGUUCUCUGAACGUUCUGAAACAAGUAGCAACAUUUUAAAAAUGUUACUGUUUUUUUUUUUGUUUUUUUUUAAACAUGCCAUGAAUGAUACAGAGACAAUGUUUUUGUGGUAACAUUUUGAGAACAUGAUUAAAGUCCAGAUAACUUUGAACAAGCGUUCUAUUAAUGUUACUAAAAGAACAUUUGUUCAUAACUUUGAGAGAACCUUGCCUGAACAUUCUGCAGUUUGAAUACAAUCUGGUCAUUAAAUGAGUCAUUUUAAUUGGUUUUAACACAAAUUGAUCUUUGAGUACAUGGGAGUGUAUCUCAUUAUGUAAAUGAAUUAUGAUGUGUGUCCAUCCACUGCUGCGGUCAUGUGGUCAUCUCAGGUGGGUUUUAACACCUGUUCAGUUCAACCUGCGCACGAGAAAAGUUUAAAAGAACCAGGAUUCACACGGUUUUGGAAAACCUGGAUAUACGAGGAAAUCUCAUUGUGGUGAUUUCUAGACUUGGAAAAGUCAUGUAAAUUAAUACAUUUACAUAUUUUAUUAAAAAUAUAUAAAUCCACAAAUAUCAUUGCUGAUAUUUAUGCAAUGAAAUUCUGCUGCUUGUGAUGUAAAUCAAUGAGAUCUUUAUAACAGUGCAGCAGAUACUGACAUAAAAUGAUCUAAAUAUCAGUCUGUGCUCUAUAUCCGCAGUAAUGUGUCUCAGUGAGAUGAGACUGAAAUGAUCCAAACAUAUAAUGCAGUGAUUGAGAGAAGAAGAAAUAAAGGCUCCUCAGAAGAUGUGAGAUGUUCUGGAGGCUUGUGAAGAUCAUUCCUCCGCUGAGGAACAGUGAAAGUAAAGCUUCUGGAAACAAACGCUCCUCAAAAGAUCCUGAUGAUCAGAUUUCAGACUAAAACAUGAUUGAUGGAGAAUCAAGUAAAGCUGAGCUGCUUCAGUCUGGAAAUAUGACUGCAGUUAUUCUGACGAUUAUUUGAUAAAAAUCAGUCAAGAUUUGAAAGCAGAAAGACUUGUGAAUCACACUAAACAAGCUUUUACCGGAUAAAAACUCUAAACUAUUAAUGAGACGACAGAAGACAUGCAGUAGAUUGAGUGUGAAACAGUUUAACAGCAGAGUUGAUCAUGUUAAUCAAAUAUAAUUCAUCCUUUAUUCAGUAAAUCACAACUGGAUGUUACUGAGGAAUGGCUGUGUGUGAUCAAUAAAUGAUCUUUUGUACACCUGCAGAACGAAAGCUUCCGCUCUGACUCUCGUGUCGCGUUACAGACCUCGAGCUGGAAUAACUGAGUGUGUGUGAUAAAGGCUGUAAGUGUAUACCUGCUCCAUUACCACAGAACACAUCAAGCCAAAGUUCAUUAUGUGUAUAGCAAAACCAAUUUAGCUGAAGAGGCUGGGAUCUCGUAGGCCAAGCGGACGCUCCUCCACCGACCCGAGCGAGCAUCUUCAUCCCUGAUUACUGCACCUGACCUCCACGCUCCCUCAGAAGGGAACACGGCGUCUAGCUGCGAGGGAGAUCUGAUGUUGGGAACGCAUUCUAACAGCUGCUUCAGCUCAUUACAUAUGCGAUGAUUAGUAGCAUUAUAAGUUCAUAACAUGUAAACAUGUGUUUGGUACAGAACGAGGUGACGUUUUUGUAUUAGGAGCGCGUUAGCGUGCUCUCCGUCAAGUGCACUUCAAACAAACAGCGCCUGAAGGGUUCAGCAUCAGUGUCUGUUGACUUUAGGGACUCGCAGGAGGAAGUUUCUCCAUCGCUGCGUCAUUUGCUUGGGUUUUCUGUACGUGUGAACAGCCACGGUGAGCUUCGAGGACAGAAACACUGAAACGGCUUCCACAUAAAUAACCAUUAGCAGACCACCGGGGCAAGUUGUCACAAGGCCUGUGUGUCAGGUUUGAGUUAUACAGUUAAAGCUUGUUUUGCUGAUUUCAAAUGUUCAAAUCUAGUUCCAAAUGUCUUAAAUAUAAUUAAUUUUAAUGCUUUUUAAUGACCUUAAUGACUUACCCCAUAUAGUGUGACAACAUGCCCCGCUGUUCAACAAAAUAAUAUUUCCCACCCAAUACCUUUUGUAGACAAAACAUUUAUAUCUAUACAGAAAAUAAUCCUAUAGAGAAACUACAGCGUGACAACAUGCCCCGAUAUAGAAGUCAACAUGUGUUCAAUGUACUGCAUCUUUAUUCCUA
ensembl:lncRNA